GGGAUAACUACUGUAAACGGUAGCUAAUACCGCAUAACGUCUCCGGACCAAAGUGGGGGACCUUCGGGCCUCACACCAUCGGAUGUGCCCAGAUGGGAUUAGCUUGUAGGUGGGGUAAUGGCUCACCUAGGCGACGAUCCCUAGCUGGUCUGAGAGGAUGACCAGCCACACUGGAACUGAGACACGGUCCAG
rnacentral:rRNA from 1 species